ensembl:lncRNA
UUUCGUAGCGCGGGGCCCGUGGGCAAGAGGCCCGGGAGACUGCGAUAGCAGAGGGGAAGUCGCCAAUGGCUACCUGGAUCGAGUCCCCUUUGUAUUUCGUUCACAUCACCCUUUUUUCUUCCACCGAGACACCGCAUCCUUUGGCUACCGUCGGUGGCGCGGUGGUGGGAGUGUAAGAGGAGGUCUGCUUCCGCUGCCACCAUUACCUGUUUCUUGGAUGGUUAAGCUUGAGUAAAGGAAACUUCUGGGAAGUGGCCAAAGACCCUUGACAUGCCCCCCGCAGAGGAAACAUCGCUGACGUCAUCUCUGCUUGUCCACUCUGUGCUUCAGUCAAGCCCAAGGCCAUCCCAGCGGCAAACUUUUGCUGCCCUCUCCCAGAAUGCCUGCUGAAACUGCCUCCUUGAGUCUGAAGGGGACCAGUGGAAACUUUGGGGGACAUAUUUUCGGGAGGCCAAGGCUCAAAUUGCCUGCCCAGGAACACAGUCAAGGAAGUGCUUUGGUCUAUUCUAGGCUUGUGGUCCAACACCAGAGACAGCUUCCUUGUAAACUCGAAGAGGUUGAUCAUGGGUCUAUUAUUUGCAUAGUGUAUCUUUGCAUCUGCAUUCACUUAAUAUCCAAAUGCUUAGAAAACUGCCAGCCAGUUUUGUGGCUCUAACAAGGCAGUGUCUUGUUCUUUGAAAGCCUCCGAGUAAAAACAGUUUAUAUGUGCUUUGGAAGUGCUUGUCUGAAAUCUAAAGUUAACCUCUGUUUGUAUUCACGUCUUCUGGAUUAGUUACAGUACCCUGAACACUGAGCAGAGGACAGAGGGAGUAGGGUUUUGUUUUUCUCAGUCUGGAAAAGCCCAUCCUUGCUCUGUCUGUAAGCAUAUCCUUCUGGGAGGAAAAUGUUAUCAGCAAUAUUCCGAUGACCUGGGAUGGGGCUGAGGAUCAGGAAGGGAGCCCAACAACCCGAGGAUCGUUUUUGUGUUUCUUUUGGUGUUAAAUUGCUGUCUUGUUGAUGGAGGAAGGUAAGAAGGGGUGGAGACCCGGCUCGGUGGAGUUGGGAGGAGCAUGGGCAGAGUCAUGUGGGCUUGGCUUCCUUUCCUUCGAUCUCGCUUACCCAGUGAGCUAGAGAGAAUUUGCAACCACCUUCAACUAGAGAACAAUCUGCAAGCCAAUCUGCCCUGGGCACUGCCUCCGGGAACUUACACUCUCACAGAUAACACAAGUUCUGCAAACAGAUGUGUGGAGGGGUGUGGGAUGCAGCAGUGGGGAUUUUUCUGGUAAGCAGUAGAAAGGAUUUUCUCAUAACUAGAGAUCUCAACUGUGACAAGGGCUGGGCUUCCUUAGGUAUUUAUGGUCAUAGAUAUGGACAGGGAGUCUAGGCUAGAUGACCACCCAUCAGAAAUCCUACAGUGCGUGUUCCUGGGCUGGGUGAGGGGCGAACUGAUGACCCCUGUGGUUCCCUUCUAAUUCUAAGAGCCCGCCAUUUUCAAAUAUAUUAGUGAUCCUAGGCAGUGUGCAAUGAAUGGCGUGAACUUUAGAGGGAUUCUCUUCACUGAUUAGCUGUUGAGUGUGUACUUUGUCCUUUGGCUAGAUGCUACGGCAGAUCCAGGGAUGUGAAGAAUGGGGUUCAAGAUCUUUGCAAAGGCCACUGCCACUCAGGGCAACCUGAGG